UACGUAGGGUGCAAGCGUUGUCCGGAAUUAUUGGGCGUAAAGAGCUCGUAGGCGGUCUGUCGCGUCGAGUGUGAAAACCCGGGGCUCAACCCCGGGCCUGCAUUCGAUACGGGCAGACUAGAGUGCGGUAGGGGAGUCUGGAAUUCCUGGUGUAGCGGUGAAAUGCGCAGAUAUCAGGAGGAACACCGGUGGCGAAGGCGGGACGCUGGGCCGAUACUGACGCUGAGGAGCGAAAGCGUGGGGAGCGAACAGG
rnacentral:rRNA from 1 species